rnacentral:lncRNA from 1 species
UCAAGUGGAGACGGGCUUGAAAGGCCAUCUACAAAACCAGUGGCCAGCAAAGAAGAGGGAAUUUUUGCCAAUGAAUUAUUAACUGGAUUAUUAAAGGACCACUAUGCUGGGACACCAAUGGGAUCAGCCCUUCUGCUGCACUGCCUUCAUAGCUGCAGAAACCUCGUGCUUCCAGAGCCAGUCAUGCGACCCAUAGCGCUUUUGGGUCUUGGAGGAACUUUUUAGCGUCAUGAAGAACAACACAGAGCAAGGGAAAAUAUAGAAGUAGUUGUGGUUGGAGGAUGUGAUGACAUCACAGAGUUCAGCGGGAACACGGGGCUUUUAAAAAGCUGAAAGAAACAUCCUGAGGCUCAGAGAUCGCAGCCCCCGAAAGGGAGUCAAACCCACGUUGGCUCUUCAAGAGCCCGACUGUCUUCGGCUAAAGAGACACAAGGCUCCGUCCCACCACUCAGCAUGCACUGGCAAAAAUGUAAGUGAGCUCUGAUUGCCUUUGUUUUCCUAUCUGAUAUAAAAGGUGUGAUGGAUAAG